rnacentral:lncRNA from 1 species
GAAAGGCUAAGUCCUAAGCAAAGCAAAAAGAUAAGGGAUAAGAAAUGAAACCACACUAGGAGUUCCUCUCUUGAGAUCAUAUUGAUGAUCCAAGUAGCUCCCAUCCUUUGGAAUAAGCAACCACAAAGUAUAAGCAAUCAAACAAGUCUCAUAAGAGAUCCUCAAUGUGUCUUGUAUCUUCCACUUGAAUGAACAUGGUAAUGAUC